AUUGAAGGCGGGCGGAAUGCUUUACACAUGCAAGGCGAACGGUAGAGGGGGCAACCCCUCGAGAGUGGCGAACGGGUGAGUAAUAUAUCGGAACGUGCCCAGUCGUGGGGGAUAACGUAGCGAAAAGUACGCUAUUACCGCAUACGAUCUAAGGAUGAAAGCGGGGGAUCGCAAGACCUCGUGGGAUUGGAGCGGCCGAUAUCAGAUUAGGUAGUUGGUGGGGUAAAGGCUCACCAAGCCAACGAGCUGUAGCUGGGCUGAGAGGACGACCAGCCACACUGGAACUGAGACACGGUGCAGACAACUACGGGAGGCAGCAGUGGGGAAUUUUGGACAAUGGACGCAAGUCUGAUCCAGCCAUUCCGCGUGCAGGAUGAAGGCCCUCGGGUUGUAACCUGCUUUUGUACGGAACGAAAAGGUCUCUCUUAAUACGGGGGACUCAUGACGGUACCGUAAGAAUAAGCACCGGCUAACUACGUGCCAGCCGCCGCGGUAA
rnacentral:rRNA from 1 species